CCAAUUUUGUGCCCCCCCCUCAGUUGGUGGAUGAGCGCCGGGAGCCGCACAAAUGGCACCGCAAAAAGGUGGGGGGGGGGGGGGGCAAAAAUGGGGCAAAAAAGGGCGGAAAUGGGCAAAAAUGGGGCGGAAAUGGGCGGAAAUGGGCAAAAAUGGGGCAAAAUUGGGCAGAAAUGGGCAAAAAUGGGGCAGAAAUGGGGAAAAAUGGGGCAGAAAUGGGCAGAAAUGGGCAAAAAUGGGGCAGAAAUGGGCAGAAAUGGAGCAGAAAUGGGCAAAAAUGGGGCAGAAAUGGGUGAAAAUGGGGUAAAAUUGGGCAGAAAUGGGGCAAAAAAGGGCAGAAAUGGGCAAAAAUGGGGAGAAUUGGGCAAAAAUGGGGCAGAAAUGGGGCAUAAAUGGGCAAAAAUGGGGCAGAAAUGGGCAAAAAUGGGGCAGAAAUGGGUGAAAAUGGGGCAAAAAAAGGGUAAUUUUGGGGGUAUUUUGAGUGGGAAAAUGUCCAAUUUGGGGGAAUUUUGGGUGGAAAACAUCCAAUUUUGGGUUAUUUUUGGGGUAUUUGGAGUGGGAAAACGUCCAAUUUUGGGUUAU
rnacentral:lncRNA from 1 species